rnacentral:rRNA from 1 species
ACAGCAGUCGCCGCGGGAAUACGUAGGGUGCAAGCGUUAAUCGGAAUUACUGGGCGUAAAGCGUGCGCAGGCGGUUAUAUAAGACAGAUGUGAAAUCCCCGGGCUCAACCUGGGAACUGCAUUUGUGACUGUAUAGCUAGAGUACGGCAGAGGGGGAUGGAAUUCCGCGUGUAGCAGUGAAAUGCGUAGAUAUGCGGAGGAACACCGAUGGCGAAGGCAAUCCCCUGGGCCUGUACUGACGCUCAUGCACGAAAGCGUGGGGAGCAAACAGGAUUAGAUACCCCUGUAGUCCCUGUCUCUUAUAA